rnacentral:rRNA from 1 species
GACGAACGCUGGCGGCGUGCUUAACACAUGCAAGUCGAACGUGAUUUUUGUGGAAAUUCUUUCGGGAAUGGAAAUGAAAUGAAAGUGGCGAACGGGUGAGUAACACGUGAGCAACCUACCUUACACAGGGGGAUAGCCGUUGGAAACGACGAUUAAUACCGCAUGAGACCACAGAAUCGCAUGAUAUAGGGGUCAAAGAUUUAUCGGUGUAAGAAGGGCUCGCGUCUGAUUAGCUAGUUGGAAGGGUAAAGGCCUACUAAGGCGACGAUCAGUAGCCGGUCUGAGAGGAUGAACGGCCACAUUGGAACUGAGACACGGUCCAAACUCCUACGGGAGGCAGCAGUGGGGAAUAUUGCACAAUGGGGGGAACCCUGAUGCAGCGACGCCGCGUGAGCGAAGAAGGUUUUCGAAUCGUAAAGCUCUGUCCUAUGAGAAGAUAAUGACGGUAUCAUAGGAGGAAGCCCCGGCUAAAUACGUGCCAGCAGCCGCGGUAAUACGUAUGGGGCGAGCGUUGUCCGGAAUUAUUGGGCGUAAAGGGUACGUAGGCGGUUUUUUAAGUCAGGUGUGAAAGCGUGAGGCUUAACCUCAUUAAGCACUUGAAACUGGAAGACUUGAGUGAAGGAGAGGAAAGUGGAAUUCCUAGUGUAGCGGUGAAAUGCGUAGAUAUUAGGAGGAAUACCGGUGGCGAAGGCGACUUUCUGGACUUUUACUGACGCUCAGGUACGAAAGCGUGGGGAGCAAACAGG